AAAUAUAAAAUUUAUUAUGAUGACUGGCUGUUCAUGUUAAAUUACUAAAGCUGAGAGUUGGGAAACUCCGGUGAAAUUCCGGGACUGUGCCGCAGCUGUGAUGGUAAGGCAAACAACAACAUUCACUUUUUACCUGCCAAGUCAGAAUGCCAACCUUAGCAGUGUCUUCAAGA
rnacentral:ncRNA from 16 species